CCUCAUCAAAAACAUGACUCUGAUCGGCGUCCUCAUCUGGACUCUCCUCUGCUUCACUCAGGGGUCUGUUGGACAAGAUGUGGUCUUGACUCAACCAGCAGCCAAAACAGUGCAGCUGGGUCAAACUGUUUCUAUUGACUGUAAAGCCAAUAGAAAAGUUGUCCAAUACUCUGGUUCACAGUACUUCCUGGCCUGGUACCAUCAGAAAACUGGAGAAGCUCACAAACUUCUGAUCUACCAAACAUCAGAUCGAUUUUCUGGAAUUUCCUCCAGACUGAGUGGAAGUGGAGCAGGAAAUGGAGUUGACUUCACUCUGACCAUCAGUGGAGUCCAGACUGAAGAUGCAGCAGUUUACUACUGUCAGAGUGUUCAUCUUAUCAACAGUCAGGUUGUGUUCACACAGUGA